AUGCAAGUCGAACGCUGAAGCCCUUCGGGGUGGAUGAGUGGCGAACGGGUGAGUAACACGUGGGCAACCUGCCCUGCACUCUGGGAUAACUUCGGGAAACCGGAGCUAAUACCGGAUAACAUCCUCCUCCGCAUGGUGGGGGGUUGAAAGUUCCGGCGGUGCAGGAUGGGCCCGCGGCCUAUCAGCUUGUUGGUGGGGUAGUGGCCUACCAAGGCGACGACGGGUAGCCGGCCUGAGAGGGCGACCGGCCACACUGGGACUGAGACACGGCCCAGACUCCUACGGGAGGCAGCAGUGGGGAAUAUUGCGCAAUGGGCGAAAGCCUGACGCAGCGACGCCGCGUGAGGGAUGACGGCCUUCGGGUUGUAAACCUCUUUCAGCAGGGAAGAAGCGAAAGUGACGGUACCUGCAGAAGAAGCACCGGCUAACUACGUGCCAGCAGCCGCGGUAAUACGUAGGGUGCGAGCGUUGUCCGGAAUUAUUGGGCGUAAAGAGCUCGUAGGCGGCCUGUCGCGUCGGAUGUGAAAACUCGGGGCUUAACCCCGAGCCUGCAUUCGAUACGGGCAGGCUAGAGUUCGGCAGGGGAGACUGGAAUUCCUGGUGUAGCGGUGAAAUGCGCAGAUAUCAGGAGGAACACCGGUGGCGAAGGCGGGUCUCUGGGCCGAUACUGACGCUGAGGAGCGAAAGCGUGGGGAGCGAACAGGAUUAGAUA
rnacentral:rRNA from 1 species